rnacentral:lncRNA from 1 species
UUGGUUCAUCUUUCCUAGAUCCUAUCCAUUCAAAACAUCUUAGGAUAUAAGGAAAUAAAAAUUACUCUUAAGCUUCUAUUGAUCCUCUUGACGCUUGAACUUGAAUCUUCAAUGUUGUUGUUGAUUUAGCUUUGUCUACACCUUCAUACUUUGUCAUCAUCAAGAUUAUGCAAUGAACACUUGCAUUCACAAAGCUAAGGUUGGAGACUGAGUAUUGUCCUAUAUAGUUGGUUUAGUGCAUUCUGUCUCAAUUGCAAAUAAGAACUCCAUAUUAUUGGGAUCCUCUCUUCCUUCAUGGAUUGCUUUCAUUUCAAC